AGGAAGGAAGGAAGGAAGGAAGGAAGGAAAGAAAAAGAGAGAGAAAGAGGAAGAAAGAGAGAAAGAAAGAGAGAAAGAGAGAAAGAGAAAGAGAGAAAGAAAGAGAGAAAGAGAGAAAGAAAGAGAGAAAGAAAGAGAGAAAGAGAGAAAAGCCCAAACUGCUUAAAAUGUUGGCUGAAGAAAAGAAACACAAACACAUGCACAAACACAUCUCUGAAGAACCAGGUUGUAUUUAAUUAUUAUAAAAAUUCAGGGUCUAAUUAAUAGGAAUACACCCUGCAUCAUUUCUAGACGUGGAGUCAACCAAUAAAAGCAAGGGGAAAAAAAAAAAAAAGGAGAGAAAAAGAAAACUGGAACUUAAUUGUCACCUGCCUGAACCUCUCCAAGUAGCUCACCCUGCAGGAGCCCUCCCUAGCAGCAGCCCAGCCUCAAAUUCCCACUUUCCGAGGGAAAAAAAAAAAGGCAGAUUUAAGUUUCUUCCAACCAGACAUCACAUUUUCCUUGAGGGGCCCUGAGAUCCUGCAUUCACGAGCAUCCUCCCCGAGGCGUGCUCACGCAGCAGCUCUCCCGUCGGAGAGCUAGUCUGGAGGGGUUGGAAAAGUCUAAUUUGGGACUGGCUGGGUAUAAAGAGGGCAGAAAUAAUCAAAAAUAAUCCUUCCUCACCUUCCCCCAUAGAACAAUACCGUUACAAGGAGCCCUGCUUACCAGGCUUUCUGCAGUGAGCUCGGGCAAGUCGUGGACCGUGCAGUGCGGAUAAUCCAGGACGGAGAUGCUGCGGAAGAUGGGAAAGGAGGGACUCGUUACGGAACAGGUCGGUGCAAGAGCAAUUUUUUAGGAUGAUCUAUGAGGCUACCGCCAGCAGCAUCCUCCUGGGCUCCCAGCACCACCGCUGCCUAACGGAGCACACCGAGCCCAUCCCGAGCCUGUCCCAAGCGUAUUAGUGAGGGCUCGGAGGAUUUGGAUCCACUAAUAUGUGGCAGAUCAGUUACUCAGAUGGACGCACACACAAAAAAAAAGAAAAAAGAAAAAAGGAAAAAGAAAAAAGGAAAAAAGGAAAAAAGAAAAAAGGAAAAAGAAAAAAGGAAAAAAGGAAAAAAGGAAAAAAGAAAAAAGAAAAAAGAAAAAAGAAAAAAGAAAAAAGAAAAAAGAAAAAAGAAAAAAGAAAAAAGAAAAAAGAAAAAAGAAAAAAGAAAAAAAAAACACAACUAAAACCAACAACAAAACAAACAAAAAACACAAAACCAAGCACAUACAAAAAGCAGAUCUUGGGUUAAAAUGCAGGUAUCUGGCAGAAUAUUUCCAGCAAGAAAAUGCACGGUAAGGGCAUCAGGUCUUUCCUGGCCUUCCAGGUUUAUUGCCUUUGUAAAAGUAGCCAACCAAAAGAUUUUAUAUAUUUUUAAUAUAAAUUAUAUAUUAGAUAUAGUUAUAAACUAUAUUAGAUUGUUUAUAUUUUAUAUAUAUUGAUAGUUUAUAUUAUAUAUACAUAUUUAUUUUGUUUGGCUAUGUAUAUUAUAUAUUAAAUAAUAUAUAUAUAUAAUAUAUAUAUAUAACAUAUAUACUACAUAUAUUAUAUAAAUGAUGUAUAUAAUAUACAAUAUAUAAUAUAU
rnacentral:lncRNA from 1 species